ACGUAGGGGGCCAGCGUUGCUCGGAAUUACUGGGCGUAAAGGGUCUGUAGGCGGUGCGGCAAGUCGGAAGUGAAAUUUCAGGGCUCAACCCUGAGACUGCUCCCGAAACUGCCGUGCUAGAGUGCGAGAGAGGCGGGUGGAAUUGCAGGUGUAGCGGUGAAAUGCGUAGAUAUCUGCAGGAACAUCCGAGGCGAAAGCGGCCCGCUGGAUCGCAACUGACGCUGAGAGACGAAAGCUAGGGGAGCAAACAGGAUUAGAUACCCUGGUAGUCCUAGCCCUAACGAUCAGGACUUGGCGUGGGCCCUGUACGGGGCUCGUGCCGUAGCUAACGCGAUAAGUCCUGCGCCUGGGGAGUACGGUCGCAAGGCUG
rnacentral:rRNA from 1 species